rnacentral:rRNA from 1 species
GAUGAACGCUGGCGGCGUGCCUAAUACAUGCAAGUCGAGCGAACAGACGAGGAGCUUGCUCCUCUGACGUUAGCGGCGGACGGGUGAGUAACACGUGGAUAACCUACCUAUAAGACUGGGAUAACUUCGGGAAACCGGAUCUACUACCGGAUAAUAUAUUCAACCGCAGGGUUCAAUAGUUAAAGACGGUUUUGCUGUCACUUUUAGAUGGAUCCGCGCCGCAUUAGCUAGGGGGUAAGGUAACGGCUACCAAGGCAACGAUGCGUAGCCGACCUGAGAGGGUGAUCGGCCACACUGGAACUGAGACACGGUCCAGACUCCUACGGGAGGCAGCAGUAGGGAAUCUUCCGCAAUGGGCGCAAGCCUGACGGAGCAACGCCGCGUGAGUGAUGAAGGUCUUCGGAUCGUAAAACUCUGUUAUUAGGGAAGAACAAAUGUGUAAGUAACUAUGCACGUCUUGACGGUACCCAAUCAGAAAGCCACGGCUAACUACGUG